rnacentral:lncRNA from 1 species
CUUUUAAUGGCAAACACUUUGGCAGGAGCCUGGCUGCUAAAGAUCUAAGAUAGUAGCUGCCUGCCUCUUAGCAUUUUAGACUAAGUUCCUCUACUCUCUUAUCUUCUUAAUUUCGCAGCAAACAAUGGGCUAUUGACUAGGCUUUCAGAACUGUGGGUGUUCUCAGAGGGAGGCCGGCCAGAACACCAGCCACACUGGCUUUUGCUCCCGUUCCCAAGUUGGGCUCCAUCUACCAGAAAUACGAAACCCUGGAGUCUUUCUCCUCCUCACUUCUCCUUAAGGCGCAGGCAGCUGGGGAAGAGAACCUCAGGCCCAGGAUGUGUGUUUGUGGGGGGGGAGGGGGCGCGUGUGUAUGUACAUGUAUGUGAGGGCAUGUGUUGUGCACCUAUAUUUGAAUCUGUGCAUAUGUGAGUGUGCGUGCCUGGAGGCAUGAGUGUGUGAGUGUGCAUGCAUUUGUGUGUGUUGGCAGCGGGGGUGGUAGAGGGGGAGGAAGGCAGGCGGCAUCUGCCUGGCCAGUGAAAUGAGCUCUCCCAUGCACACACCUUUCCCAGGCGAGGUCUGCACUGAUACAAAGCGGUGUGGGCUGGAAAACGAGGAGCGUUUCUUGGAGGGGAAAGAAAAGGCUGGGCGGUGUUCUUCUCCCCGUGUCAGGUGAACCAACGAGCUAGCUUCCGAAGCUUUCAUGCCCGGGUACACAGAGACAUUUUGCGAAGACACUGACUCACCAUUCUGGGAUGCCUCACCCUCAAAGUCUUUACAGGAGUUAGCAUCAUGUUAACAAAAAUACCAGGCAGCACUUUGAUGGGAACUGGCUGAGAAAUGGGGUUCUGGGACCACUUCAGAGAAGUAUCUUGAACUUUGGCCGGACAGCCUUUUGCUUCUGAUGCGGUUCAGGAUGCAUUCCUCCAAAGUAAGGCACCUUGACAUAUUGACUAUUUCGGGCUGAAGGACUGUGAGAAAUGGCAUGUACAAGAAGAACCUACCCGUGAAGCAGGUCAUGAAACCCUCAUGUGAGAGGUGCCCACCCUGUACCUGAGGAAAGGGUCAUCCUCACUGCUAAAGACGACAAUGAAGGAACAGAGGUAUUUGAAUGAACAGGUCUUGCUCAGUUUACUACCCUCAGCUCACAGGCUUUGGUCUACCUUGUCUUUCCAUGAUUCUCCAGUCUUCAACAAGCCUAGCAGAAAAACUCUCAAGUUGAACGCUUUCUUCAGGACUUCGUUUCCUCAUGAAGGCUCCUCUGUCGAUGCAAGACUGACAUGAAAUAGAUAGGUAUGCUUUUCUCUUGUUAACCUGUCUUCUGUUACCGGGGUCCCAGGCGAGAACUUAGAAAGGUAGAGCAGAAAGACCUUUUCCCCUCUCUGUGCCACAAGUAGAGAAAACUUCAACUUGUUUUUUUUUUUUUUUUUUUUUUUAAUUUUUUUUCAACGUUUAUUUAUUUUUGGGACAGAGAGAGAGACAGAGCAUGAACGGGCGAGGGGCAGAGAGAGAGGGAGACACAGAAUCGGAAACAGGCUCCAGGCUCUGAGCCAUCAGCCCAGAGCCCGACGCGGGGCUCGAACUCACAGACUGCGAGAUCGUGACCUGGCUGAAGUCGGACGCUUAACCGACUGCGCCACCCAGGCGCCCCGAGAAAACUUCAACUUGUUUUUGAAUGUUUGGGGAGAGGUUUGUAGUGGACAAGCAGAAUGGAGAGAGAGAGAGUUCCUGUCAAGUUCUGAGUCGAGCUCAGUGCCUGCCACGCAUAGUGUCGUAGCUGCUGGCACCUCUUCUCUCUUCCUGUCUCUUCUAAGAUGGUGCAGAGCAGAAAUCACCACUGUGAUGUGCAGAUGUUGCGGUGUGGGGAGAAAGCGUCCAAACUCCUAUUUGUCUUUAUUUUUAAUCUCAUCUUCUUUCAAUUGGUUGUGUAUAUUUAUAGUGUUCGUGCUACGUUAGCACGCAUGCACACAUACACAAAUAUAAGCAUGUAUCUCUCUAAUAUUUUUUAAGAAUUGGAGGUGAGUUCACGUUCACAUUUUUUUAAAUUGCUAUAGAAUGAGCUGCGGGAGAGCUGUGUUCUCCUGCCCAAUUAGGGCAGCUACCUUGGGCACCUCGGAGAGAGACAAAAGGCAGGAAUGGCACCUGUGUCCUCAGUCUUCACAUGCUGCCUUUUCCAAAUGCUGAGAAACUAGCUUAGGCCAGGGCUUCCACGGAACAGAGAAGAAAAACAAGCUUCAUGGAAAAUAAAUGCCCUUCCUCACGCUCCCAGCAAAUUCAAGAAGGAAAGCCGGGGAAAGCCUGCCAGGAAACUUGGCCUGCUCAGAAUGUUUACUCCUCACUCAGUAACUCCGAUAAGAUUCCUGUGUUCACAGCAUCGUCCUGGGCGCCAUAGGAGAGGGAAGAGGGGUCCUGGUCCUCAUGUGACUGCCAUGUACCAAUUGCCAUAGGAACGCAAGUUGGCUGCAUAAAUGCUCUAGAGACUAAGUAAAGGGGCAACCAGAGAGCCUAUCUUCUUAUCCUGCAGACUUGUUUUAAAUGCUCCUAGAAGUUUCAAACUUUAUCACAUUAAGAUUUUUCACCCUGGUGGUGCUGCCUUUUCUUGAGAAUUUACUGAUGCUGUACUUAGUGUUAAAGAUUUAACGUACACGAUCUCCUUCUUUCCUCAUAAUACUAUUAUGAUGCAGGUCUGUUUUACACAUGAAAACACAGAAACAGAGAAGCUAAAUCACUUGCCCAAGGCCACAGAGCUAACAAAUGACCGGAGUCCAGUUCAGUUCUAUCUAACCCCCAAAGGCCAACCAGUCCCCACUACCGCUUGUGGGAACUAUGGCUAUUUUCCUUGUAGAAGAGCUGAUUUGAGAAGCUAAAUUCAAAUAAGGAAGAUGUGCUACAUGGAAAAGUGAGCAGACUUACUCUGGAAAUCUCCAGCAGAUAGAUCUAGCGCUGGUAGGUGGUUAGAGGUCAUUGAGAAGCAGAAGAACUUUCUAACCGUUGGGUGGCCUUAGAGUUGUAAUAAAUAUUAACUAUUUCACUUUCUUUUUAUGUUAUUAAGAUAUAGCGUUCAGCUGCCUUCACCUGAGUCUAUCUCUGGAAUGCAUUUGCCACCUGUCUUCUGUUUGUUAUAUGCAUCUCUCUCCCCAACCAGGUGAUAAUGGCACCUUAUUCAUUUCUCUGUCUCCGGAAUCCUAGCCCAGUACCUGGAAUGUGGAAGACACUCCAUAAAUGCUUGUUGGAGGAAUGACUCAUAACCAGUUGGGCCAGUUCCUGCUUCCAGAUUGGGGCAUGUACCCAGGGGGAAAAUGGCAGAGUUGCCCCUAUUGGAAGGCUGUGGAGCCAGGAACCCAGAGUCCAUGAGGUCCUCUAUCUCAUGUGCCCUGCUAGCUCCUCAGAAGGGGACGAGGUUUCCUACCGGGAACCUGGGCAUCAUUUGGGUGAAGAUGUGGUCUAUGAGAGGAACUUCCAUGAGACUGGUGAAGACAUCUCUUUGAUAGACUCUCGGUUUCCUCUUAUAUUUUCAGACCUCAGGUCCAUGAAACUGUGGAGCAUCGCCAGCAAAUGGCUCCGUGAGCCCCGAGUUAAUCUCGCCUCCCCAGCCCCAGUUUCCCUCUGGGGUGAGUCCCUCCCCUAGGAGAUAAGACUAUUGGCAAUAAUCUCAACUUGCAGUAGAAAUAUCCUACGCAGUCCCCGAUCAUCAAACAGUCUAAUGACCAAGCUUCCUCACCCUUGCUCCCCUGAUGUUUGCUUCCAGACCAUGGUUCAGGGAGGAGUGACUUAAGGGGAACUCAGCGGACUCCCUAAGGUGAGGAGAUAGAGCAGAGUGUCCAGGGAGAGCAAGUUCAUGGGGCUAGAGGUCGCAGCACAGAGUACUCGAGAAGAGAUCUACAAAAAGAGGGACUCUGGAGAUCUGCAGAGGCUCCGCUGUGUAUUCAGCAAAGUAGGGAUCCACACAAGGCCAAGGCAAGAAGCACAUGAGAGGCUCAGGAGGAACAGCACCCAGCACUCACACUGGGCUGUGAGGAUUGCCUGUUGCCAUUGGACUGGACAAUCUCAUGGUACCUAGGCCACUGGGGAGAGUACUCAGAAAGGCCUUGCCUUGGGCUUCAUCCCAAUUUGGAAGCUCUUUGAAAGACACUGGCUAGAGAAUGAAAAGACAAGCCACGGAGUGUGAGAAAAUAUUUAGAAAGCCUGUAUUUAAUAAAGAACUUGUAUCUAGAAUAUAUGAAGAAAUCUCAAAGUCAAUAGUAAAAAAAACCUAACAACCCCAUUAAAAAAUGGGCAAAUGAUCUUGACACUUCACUAAGGAAGAUGAUCGGCAUCAUCAGUCAUGUGGGCAAUGCAAAUAAAGCCACCGUGAACUACCACUACACUCCUUUUAGAAUGGCUAAGAUCGUAAGGACUGAUCACACCAAGAGUUGACAAAGAUGUAGACAAAUUGAAGUUCUCAUACCCUGCUGAUAGAAAUGUAGAAAGACGCAGCCACGUUGGAAACAGUUUGGCAGUUUCUUGAGCAAUGAAGCAGAGACUUAUCAUGUGAUCCAGUUUUCUACUCUUAGGUAUUCACUCAAGAGAAAUGAGAGUGUAUGUCUGUCCAUCUAUAUUAGUUUCCUAGGGCUGCCUUAACAAAGUAGUGCAAACUGGGUGGCUUAAAGACUACAGAAAUAUAUUUGGAUUUAUAUUUCCGGAGGCUAAAAGGCCGAGAUCAAAGUGUCAGCAGGGCAACCCUGUCUCCGAAACCUUAGCUUCUGGGGAUUUGUUGGGAAUCUUGGGCAUUCCUGGGCUUCCAGCUGUGUCACUGCAAUCUCUGCCUUCAUGGUCACAUGGUGUCUUUCUGUAUCUGUCUUCACAUGGCCACCUGCCUAUGAGGACACUAGUCAUAUUGGUUCGACACUAGUGUGACCUCAUUUGAACUCAUUACAUCUGCAGCAUCCCUUUUAAAUAAGGUUAUUCUGAGGUAGUGGGGAUUAGGACUUUGACAUAUCCUUUAUUGGGGGACACAGUUCAACCCAUAACACCAUCCAAAGUCUGAAUGUGAAUAUUUGGAGCAGUUUUACUUAUAAUCGCUGAAAACAGGAAACAAUGCAAAUAACCAUCCACAGGUUAAUGGAUGAACAAAUUGUGGUAUAUCUAUACAUUGGAUUACUCUUCAGCAAUCAAAGGAAUAGACAGGGGUGCCUGGGUGGCUCAGUCGGUUAAGGAGCCAACUCAGAUCAUGAUCUCAUGGUUUGUGAGUUCGAGCCCCGUGUUGGGCUCUGUGCUGACAGCUCAGAGCCUGGAGCCUGCUUCGGAUUCUUUCUCUCUGCCCCUCCCCUUCUCACACUCUCUCUGUCUCUCAAAAACUGAAUAAACAUUAAAAAAUUUUUUAAAAAAAGGAGUAGACAAUUGAUACACGCAAAAACAUGGAUGGACCUUAACACAAUUAUGCCAAAGGGAAAAGAAAAUCAAGAAUACAUAUGAUAUGAUUCCAUGUAUAUGAAAUUUAAAAAAAAUUUUUUAAAUGUUGAUUUAUUUUUGACAGAGAGAGAGAGAGAGAGACAGGGCACGAGUGGGGAGGGGCAGAGAGAGAGGGAGACACAGAAUCCGGAGCAGGCUCCAGGCUCUGAGCUGUCAGCACAGAGCCCAACAUGGGGCCCAAACUCACGGACCAGGACAUCAUGACCUGAGCUGAGUUGGACGUUCAACCAACUGAGCCACCCAGGCACCCCUCCAUGUAUAUGAAAUUUUAGAAAAUGAAAACUAGUUCUGUACUGACUGAGAGCAGAUAAAUGGUUGCCUGGGGACAGAUAGAUACGGUAUGAGUUUUCUAUGGCUGCUAUAACAAAUUACUGCAAGUGUAGUGACUCAAAACAUCACAGAUAUUUCUUAUUAUCAUUCUGGAGGUCAGAAAUAUGAAAUGAAUCUCAUGGGGCUCAAAUCAAAGUGUUGGCAGGCCUGUUUCUUCUGGAGGCUCUAGAGAAGAUUCGGUUUUCUUGCUUUUCCAGUUUCUGGGGGCUGCCCUCAUAUGUUGGCUUCCUCCCACCUUGGAUCUGCCUGGGCUGGUAGACCCAAUAGACUCUACUAGUCACAAGAAGCCUGACCACAUAUGUCCUAUGUCCCCCAGGCUGAUGUCCCAGUGAGGAGGGAGCCCACCAAUCUUCCUCUUCUUCUGCCAAUCUCUGCUUCAUUUGUCUGCUCCUACCUUAGAUCUUCCCAUCUUCCUUGUAUGAGGACUCUUGGGAUGACAUUGGGCUCACGUAGACCAUCCAGGAUUCUCUCUCCAUCUCAGGAUCCUUAAGUUAAUUGCAUCUGCAAAGUCUCUUCUGCUGUGCCAGCUAACAUAGUCACAGCUUCUGGCGAUCAAAACACGGAGAUUAUUCACAUGUACCUUUGUCAAAACUUCUUUGUAUACUUUAAUGUGUACAGUUUAUCACAUGUCAAUUAUAUAGCAAUAAAGCUGUUUAGAAAACCAAAACUAAGCUUAAUAAGGUCCUUUGAUUAAAAAAAAGGAAGCAACAGGGCUCUGCCCACCACAUUGUGUCGGCUCACCAGGGGUAUUCGGACUCCUCCCAGUCCUUGCUGAGAUGAGCAAGGAUUGUUCCAGAUAAUCAGAGCUGCUCCAGGGGAAUGUGCCUCAGCUUCUGGCAAAUGACUCUUCAAGCUUGGUUUAGUUGGUGUGCCCAGGGCACCCCAGAGGGGUGCAGAUGUGGGGUGUGCUCGGCAGUGGGCCCCUUGUAUUUUAUGCUGAUGAGUCAAGGUAAAGAGAGGCAUAAUAAUCAGAGAAUGGGAGCCAGUGUGUUCGGCCUGGCAGACUGGUGCAUUGAUACUAUUCAUCCCAGUUGACUUUCCCGCUCUUACUUUCUGCUUCCCUUGGACCACCACCGGUGUGACGCUGGAUUCAGAGAGUUUAAGGAAUUGCUCCUGACUGAGUAAUUGGGAAGAAAAGAACAAGGACUCAAAACUUCAGCCCUCUGUCUCCAAACCCUGUGCCGGUCCCACGGCCACUUCCACGGGCAGGGUGGUGGGAUCUAAGGAUGUGAGGAAGAGCCGUGGAUCUUUCCGCAGCACCGACAGGGAGAAGUGGUCUCCUUCUUGGAUGACUCCCGCGUGGGCUGCGGUCAGCCCAGGACCUCUGCCUCCCACCGCUGGACACAGCCAACUUUAUUCCUGACAAGAGAGAAUGAUUCUUCCACCAGAGCGCUCAAGUCUGCAUGUGGCAGAGAGUUAAACAUUGCUAGCUUGCUUGCUUUCUUUGUUCGUUCUUUAUUUUUAACAUCAUGUUAGUUUCAAGUGAACAACACAAUAAUUUGACAUAUGUAAGUAUUGCGAAAUGAUUGCCACCGUAAGCCUAGUUAUCAUCCAUCACCUCGCAUAGUUAUGGUUUUUUUUUCCUUGUGACGAGAACUUUUAAGAUCUACUCUCUUAGCAACUUUCAAACGUCCAGUACAGUGUCAUUAACUGUAGUCACCAUGCUGCGUGCUACAUCUCUACGCCUUCUUUAUUUUAUAACUGGGAGUUGGUACCUCUUGACGUCCUUCACCGAUUUGCUCCCCCCUUCUUUCAUUCUUUACUUUUCUUUCCCUCCUGUCUCUCUCUCUCUUUGUCCCUUAUUUCCUGCCUUCCUUCCCUUUGUUAUUAUUUAUCAUUUUUAGUUGUCAGGGCAUGUUGCUAUGAACUAUACUCACAUGUCUUUUUGUCUAAUUGCCUCGAAGGCAAUGAGGAGGGGACUUUUGACUCUGAUGCCCACGUGGCAUCUGAAACCGUGAAGUAAACUGCAGGUGACUCCCCGGCUGGCCAUACCCUGGGGGCUGCACCUGUGCUGUCUGUGCUGGACUCUUCCCUGUGAGCCAGCGCUGCCUCUCUGCGACGGAGUCUCCUGCCUACCGAAUGCGUGGAUUGUCUUACAGCACCCUGCACUGAAUAGCUCUGAGGACAGGAGGACCUCUUUGGUUCUUGCACCAGAAUUCAUUUGACGUGUGGAUUUGAUGUGUGGAUUUUCUCCUUUGCCUGCAGCAGGCAUUGGUGCGCCCCUUGAGGCCAGGGAGGGAGGUAAGGACAUGCCUUUCCUGGUUGAGAGAGGAGCCACUUUCCGCUCCUUCUCCCUGGGGACCAUCCUGGCUGCUGUGGUAACUCCUCUCUCGGCUCCCCUGCAGCUGGAAAUAGCUUUCUUGCUCUCUGGCAGGCACGUGGCAGAGUGGGGUGUGUGUGUGUGUGUGUGUGUGUGUGUGUGUGUGUGUUGGAAUGACAAGAUCCCUGAAGUAAAGGGCUCUACAGUGCUUCCUCCCUCCCUGCAUUUGUCUAGGCUUGGAGAGCCUGGCUGUGCAUGUCCUGUGUCCCCCCCAGGCUGAUGUCCCAUGAGGAGGGAGGCCCACCAAUCUUCUUCCCUCUCUGUGUGCUGCAUGGGGGACAGAGAGACCCUGUAUUGGGCUUUUCAUGAGGUGUAUACACUAUAAAUGUAUGUGUGUGUGGAAGGAAGGAAUUUUGGCUUGAAAAUACUUUUUUACUGGCAAGGAUAGCACUUCUCCUAAAGAAGAUGGCAGAAUUUGCCAAACUAAGCCUCCAGAAGAAAAUAUAACAGAGAGUGUGAAAGAAAUCCAUGUUCAAACAUUGGCAAGUGUGAAACAUUCAAGAAUUUUUGUGCGAACGUCAUAUUGUCAGAGCAAAAUUAAAUUAAGCUGGUCUCUGGCAAGUGUUCGGAAUGAACACAGAACUGGGGCAAGCCGAUGGGGGGGACCUGCUCUGACAUUGUUGCGUGAAGCCAGACAAGCAUAAUCGGGCAAAACCCAGGACACCUGAGGGCUGGGCUCUAUUCUUCAGUUAAUGAAGGCACAGCACCGUAGCUGCUUUGUGUCCCAAGGGUUGAAGGGAGCUGCCGAAAGACAUGGAACUUUCUUCCCCUCAACAACCCCAUCACGGGCUGAGUACGAGUUAGGCUCACUUAAAAAAUAUUUAGUGAGUAUCCCAAUUUGCUGAGCAAACUGUUGUUCUCCCCAUCAAAAGAGGAGAUGGUCCCACCUGUCUCCUACAGUCUGUAGUCUGCAGAUGGAAUUCAACUGACUAGAAUCAAAGGCAAUGUGGGACAAAUGCUGUGUUGGAGAUGUAAGCAAAGUGCUCGGGAACGUGGGGUUCAAGGCAACACGUUCUGAUAGAAUUGCCUUCAUGGGGCCAGGGUGGAGUUGGGGAAUACUUCCCGGAAAAGAAGCAGGCAUUUCAACUGAGCCCUGAAACAUGGAGAGCGUUGAGGGGAGCGGAGGAGGGAUGGGGUUGCAGCUGCAGCUGACGCCAGAGGUCAUAGGAAUUCCAGAAUUCAGGCAAUAAACCAGAGACCUCAUACACUCCCCGCUCCCCUCUAGGAUUCUCCUCUCUGGCAGGGUACGGGAGAGCAUGGUCUUGCCGAUGUGCCGGAAGUGCUCGGACACCAGCGGAGGGCUGAGCCCAGCUGUGGGCUCCUGUGGGGCAAGCCCCAUUCCUGCCCCACUGACGAGUCAGCCAAUACUCUGCUCUCUUCUCUGUCUUAGCAUUCACAUUGGCCUUAUAGGCUAUGGUAGAUCGGCAGGCCGUGGAGUUGGGCAGCCCCGAUCUGCUUUCUCUUUCGGAACUUAGCCUAUGGUCAUUAUAAUACAGUAGGGCUGUGCUUGGGGCAGGUGGGGAACCAGUCUGGCCAUCCCUCUUCCUUCUCUGAAGGCACAGGAGUUCACCAUCACAGUGGGCACUUGGUCAAAUUUGAGAAGGAAGACUGGACUCGAUUCCCCCUCUCCUGCUCCACACCUUGCAUUUUUGGAGGUCAACACGUUGCAAGUUCUGCCUCCCCGAGUUUUGUUAGCAGCGUCCUUAAGCCCUGGGCUGUCUUUUCACCAUUUCUAGGGUCCACAGAGACUCCCUCUUUUAGGAGCCUCAGGCUGUGGCUCCUUAGCCCUUCACUUUCCAGUGGGGACCGCUCUCGCUGGGCUCUGACGUGAGGGGCCAGCUGAGAACAACUUGCUUAGCACAGUCAUCACUCCCCACAAUUGCUCCCCACUGGGCAUCAGCUGUCCUCAUUACUGGUGGCACACCUGAGCACCUGCCGGCGCCUCCAGAUUCUGGCCAGGUGCUCUAGGGGCAUGCACAGUCGUCUCAUUGCCAGUGUUGAUAAUUAUUGCUUGUCCCAAGUUAGGAGCUCAGUAAAUGUUGCCUGAUGAAGCUGAAGUUCUUUUGGGCAUCUGCCUGAACAGUUCACAGUGGAUUAUCUUGCUUGGCACCUUAAAUUAUCCAAAGCAGUUCGUCUGAGGACGCAAAAAUGCUUACUGAAUAUUAGAGUUUUGUUUUUUAUUUUUAUCCCAAAUACUUCGAGCCUAUAGAUCUCUUCGGGAAGAACUGAUAUCUUUAUAACAUUUACACGAUUACUUGUUUUCUCUUUAUGUCCUUCCAUAAAGCAUUAUCUAUUUUGUACAUGUCCCACACAGCUUUAUUUUUAAGGCUGUACUGAUGCAGUCUAUGUAUUGCUGUUAUUAUGAAUUGGAUAAUUUUUCCUUACGUUUUCCAAUUUUGUUUAUAUGUAUGUGUACAUAUUUAUAAUAAUAUAUAAAAAUAUAAAAGCUGUUGAGUUUUUGUUUUUAUUUUUUACUUUGGUUCAUGUAUGUGUGUGCAUGUGUGCCUUGUUUUAUUUUUAUAUAGACAGUUAUACAUUGAAAAGAAAUUUUAUCUUUUUCUAGUUACUAUGCAUCUGUUUUAUUUGUUUGGUAUCUUGCAUUGGCUAGAAGAUACACAAUGAGUUGUUGUGUUUAUAUGUCCCUUAUUUAUUUGUUCUGUUGAUUUUUAUGAGGGCACCCAGGGCAUCUCACUGUUAAUUAAAAUACCUGUUGAUUGAAAAAUAGUAUUAUUUGGAAUGUUAAGGUAGUAUUACCUUAACUACUUACUACUAGUAGUUUGCUAACUACUUCUUUUUCAAAAUUGAGGAAUGGUUGAAAUAAUGUUGAAAUAAUGAUCUUCUAUUUCCCCCAUGUCCUGGAAGUGAUGUAUUAUAGGAGUUGAUUUUCUAAUAUUCAGCCACCUACACAUGCACCGUGAAGCCAUAUUGGGUCAUUUCUUACUUUUUUGUCGUAUUGCUGCACUAGAUUUGUUAUUUUGUUUAGAUGUUUUUAUAUCUACAUUGUAAGUGAGUGUGAUCUGCAGUUUUUCAUUUUGUGUUCUUUUUGUUAGGUGGUAGAAUCUGGGUUAUGGUAGAGUCAUAGAAUGAAUGGAGAAGUUUAUCAAGAUACUUCUAUGGGACUGGAUAGAGCCCAAGUAGUAUUUAUUUGUAAAAAAAUGUAUAAUUUGCCUAUAAAAUGAACUGCUCAGACUUUUUAGGGAGGCAAUUCUCUGAGAAUACCGUCCAUUUCUGUCAUGACUAUCUGUAUCUUAAAAUGUUCUAGUUCUCAAUUCAGUGUAAGUCAUCUCCCCAAGCCACCUGUUUUCAGAGUUAUUAGCAGAGAGUUGCCCAUAGUUUCCAUGUAAUAAAAUAACUUCUUCACAGCAAUCUUGCCAUUCCCAAUUUUGCAUAUUUGUACUAACUUUUUUUUUUCCAAUUUCACUUCUGAGAAAUCUAUGCAGUUUAUUGUUUCAGAUAUCACGUGGCUGGGUUUUGAAGAUUUAAACUAUGUACCUAACGCAUUAGUUGUUUAACACAUUAGUCGGUUACGUUACAUUAGGACAGAACUUACAGAAAUGAAUUCAUAUCAAUUAAUUGCUCCUAGAACUUAAUACCACUUAUUUAAUGUCAAUUAAUUCCCCUGGCAGGAGGCAAUUCUGGGGUAGUAGUUAGACUUGGAUGUAAGGAGAACACCAGCAGCUUUCCCUGGAGAAGGGGAGGGAGCCAGCAGUCUAGAAGGGACUGUGAGAGAGCACACAGCCAGGCAAGCGCCCAGCUUUUGGCACUGAUACAAGGUUUGGGCUGAACAGGUAGAUGAUGUGUCCUUGAUGGCCUCUGUCUUUACUCCCCUCUCUUUUUUCAAGUCUGCUUGGUUCUAAAAUCCAACUUCUAUUGUUUCCCUUUAUCCUUUGCUCCUUUAGGCUUGAACUUUAUCCCCAUUCUCUUUCGUGGCCAUAGCGAAUCUUUGCUUCAAAGCAAAGAGCUUGGGGCACCUGGCUGGCUCCGUGGGGUAGAGCAUGAGACUCUGGAUCUUGGGGUUGUGGGUCUGAGCUGCAAGUUGGGGAGUAGAGAUUACUCAAAAAUAAAAUCUUAAAAAAAAAAAAAACAAGAAGCUUGCCUCAAUUUGCUAAAUUUGCUCCAUUUUUAUGCCCUAGAUAAGGGAGUAUUAUUCCACAAAAGUGGACUAUGAGAAUUGGCAACUCACCCUAUGACCCUAUGAACUUCAUUGAACAGCAAUUCUUUUAUUUGUAAAUGAUGGUGAGAGGCACUUAGGAAGGGAAAACUUUCUUCUUUUCCUUUCAUUGGUUAGUUUUAGGAUAUAAAAAUAGUAACUAAUUUGAAUGAAUAAGAAAUCAGACAUAAGAAAAGGACUCACAUGUUAUUCGUAUCUUUUAAAACUGAACAUCCUCGGGGCGCCUGGGUGGCUCAGUCGGUUGAGCGACCGACUUCGGCUCAGGUCAUGAUCUCACGGUUUGUGAGUUCGAACCCCGCGUCGGGCUCGGUGCUGACAGCUCAGAGCCUGGAGCCUGCUUCAGAUUCUGUGUCUCCCUCUCUCUCUGCCCCUCCCCCACUCAUGCUCUGUCUCUCUCUGUCUCAGAAAUAAAUAAACAUUAAAAAAAAUUUUUAAAAACCAAAAAACAAAAAACUGAACAUCCUCACUUAAACAAGUCUGGUGUUUCUGACAAAAUGGGUACUCCUAUCCUUUGAGAGACUUAAGGUUUCUCAAGUUGCUGAGUUUUCAACUAGGCCAGGGGCCUCUCAAUGAAAAUAAUAAAACCACUGGCAAAUUUCUAAGGGAUAACUGGGCUUUCAGUUUGCUUCUUUUAUGAGAAAGAGAAGAGAAUCAAACAUUAGAAAUAUUAGCUUUCUAUUUUACCCGCCAUUUUUCUCAGAGGGAGAUGCCAGGCAUGGUAUUCUGUAUUGUUAUCAAGGAAAUUCUGUGUGUCUGCACCCCUGCUUUCAGUGAGAAGUGACCGGAGAAGGCUGAGUGUGUUUUAUUUCUAUUUUUGUGACAAAGAUUAUGUAGUUGUCAUUUUUCACCAACUGUCUUUCUUACUGGACCUUGAAAAUGGCAUUGCUGGAGCUGGCCCUCGAAGAGUUAAACCAAACAGGUCCCCUUUCUCCAUCAACCUGGUUGAGUGAGUUCUCUGACCAGAGUUGCACACUGUUGUAAGGACGCUCAGAGGUGACUGAGGGGUAAAGGAUAUGUCAUCCUUUGCCAAAAUAAUCGGUGUUUAAAACAUCUUCUAGGACGUUUUCUACUCUGUUCUUUAGGUGUGCUUAAGAACUCUGCUCCAAGAGAAACAUAUUGGAAGAUGAUCCAUGAAGUGAAAUUCUACCCCAUGUUUCUUCUUCUACUUUCAUGAGAAAAAUGAUUGUACCUUCAGAUGCGACUCAGCCAUUUCAUAUGGAUAUAUAUUUGCCUUCUCUGACUGGUGAAGAGAGAUCUCUCUUUUAAGCCAGUGGUUCUCAAACCUGAGCCUACAUCUGAAUCAGUGGAAGGUCUUGUUAAAACACAGAUCAUCAAGUCCCACCAUGAGGCUUUCUGAUUUAGUAGGUUUGGGACCAGGUCUGAGAAUUUAUAUUUCUAACAAGUUCCCAGGAGAUGCAGACGCUCCUGGACACGCUCUUUGAGACCCUCUAUUCUUUUUUUUUUUUUUUUUUAAAUUUAUUUAUUUAUUUAUUUUAUAUAUAUAUGAAAUUUAUUGACAAAUUGGUUUCCAUACAACACCCAGUGCUCAUCCCAAAAGGUGCCCUCCUCAAUACCCAUCACCCACCCUCCCCUCCCUCCCACCCCCCAUCAACCCUCAGUUUGUUCUCAGUUUUUAACAGUCUCUUAUGCUUUGGCUCUCUCCCACUCUAACCUCUUUUUUUUUUUUUUUUUUUUUNNNNNNNNNNNNNNNNNNNNNNNNNNNNNNNNNNNNNNNNNNNNNNNNNNNNNNNNNNNNNNNNNNNNNNNNNNNNNNNNNNNNNNNNNNNNNNNNNNNNNNNNNNNNNNNNNNNNNNNNNNNNNNNNNNNNNNNNNNNNNNNNNNNNNNNNNNNNNNNNNNNNNNNNNNNNNNNNNNNNNNNNNNNNNNNNNNNNNNNNNNNNNNNNNNNNNNNNNNNNNNNNNNNNNNNNNNNNNNNNNNNNNNNNNNNNNNNNNNNNNNNNNNNNNNNNNNNNNNNNNNNNNNNNNNNNNNNNNNNNNNNNNNNNNACCACAAUUUCUUUAUCCAUUCAUCAGUUGAUGGACAUUUAGGCUCUUUCCAUAAUUUGGCUAUUGUUGAGAGUGCUGCUAUGAACAUUGGGGUACAAGUGCCCCUAUGCAUCAGUACUCCUGUAUCCCUUGGAUAAAUUCCUAGCAGUGCUAUUGCUGGGUCAUAGGGUAGGUCUAUUUUUAAUUUUCUGAGGAACCUCCACACUGCUUUCCAGAGCGGCUGCACCAAUUUGCAUUCCCACCAACAGUGCAAGAGGGUUCCCGUUUCUCCACAUCCUCUCCAGCAUCUAUAGUCUCCUGAUUUGUUCAUUUUGGCCACUCUGACUGGCGUGAGGUGAUACCUGAGUGUGGUUUUGAUUUGUAUUUCCCUGAUAAGGAGCGACGCUGAACAUCUUUUCAUGUGCCUGUUGGCCAUCUGGAUGUCUUCUUUAGAGAAGUGUCUAUUCAUGUUUUCUGCCCAUUUCUUCACUGGGUUAUUUGUUUUUCGGGUGUGGAGUUUGGUGAGCUCUUUAUAGAUUUUAGAUACUAGCCCUUUGUCCGAUAUGUCAUUUGCAAAUAUCUUUUCCCAUUCCGUUGGUUGCCUUUUAGUUUUGUUGGUUGUUUCCUUUGCUGUGCAGAAGCUUUUUAUCUUCAUAAGGUCCCAGUAAUUCACUUUUGCUUUUAAUUCCCUUGCCUUUGGGGAUGUGUCGAGUAAGAGAUUGCUACGGCUGAGGUCAGAGAGGUCUUUUCCUGCUUUCUCCUCUAAGGUUUUGAUGGUUUCCUGUCUCACAUUUAGGUCCUUUAUCCAUUUUGAGUUUAUUUUUGUAAAUGGUGUGAGAAAGUGGUCUAGUUUCAACCUUCUGCAUGUUGCUGUCCAGUUCUCCCAGCACCAUUUGUUAAAGAGGCUGUCUUUUUUCCAUUGGAUGUUCUUUCCUGCUUUGUCAAAGAUGAGUUGGCCAUACGUUUGUGGGUCUAGUUCUGGGGUUUCUAUUCUAUUCCAUUGGUCUGUGUGUCUGUUUUUGUGCCAUGAGACCCUCUAUUCUAAGCAAACCUGUGAGUUAAGUCAACAUGCUUCUUCUAAAGUUUCUGAAAUAUCUAAGUUUUUUCAUAGCACAGUUUCACAGCUAAGUGAAAAUUGGGUCUCUAGUUGGAAAAGGAAGGCCAUAAUAACUUAGGCUGAUGGAGCGCUCAUGAGGAGGUUCCAAAUUAAACAGGGUGAUCCAUUUCAUAGAGCACACACCUGAAUGAUUCCUUUGACUACAGGGUUCAAGGCACCUCGGCUGUGAAGUUAGGCAUAUCAUAAAUGAGACCCAGCGCGACCUUGUGGUAUGUCUUGUCGUCCAAAUAUGGGCUUCAUUAGGGCAGCCCUGGGGGAGUACAUUGUAAUAGCUCUGGCGAUAUGUGCAAGGGAAUAGUACUGCCUUCCUCAGGCUGCAUCUCUUUUGGCAUUAGCUUUGGAGCAUGCCUGGACAAGGACCUGGAAGUUGUUUCUCAAAACAACCAAAGCACUCAAACACACAGGCUUUCAAAGUGGCCAUUUUCUUUGAGGUUCCUCCCCUUGCCACUUUCGAAGGGGCUGGAGAAAAUGGCUCUGCCUCUAGCUACGCGGUAUCAUCAUAGAUGGAAGCUCAUUUUCUUCGCUAGGGUUAAGCCUGGCUAAAGAGGAGAAGACCACUGUGCAUGCACAGCCUGUCCCCAGGAAGACUUGUCAGCCUAUGCUAUACAAAGAUGGAAAUCAAGCUGGUUCACUGUGGAAUCCAAGGCCAGGGUCAGAGUUUCCGCCGGCCUGUCUGCAGUUGAAGGGGUCCUAUCACAGGGAAAAGCGCCCCACUUCCUCCUUCGAAUGGUGUCCUGAACAACAAGGCCUUGAGCCUCAGGAUCUACACGGGGAGGAAAUGAGAACUUGUGCCAAAUCAGGCAGUUGCCUGAUUCCUCUUGUGGCUGAGGAACCACAAUGAGGUCAGUCCCCUGCAACUGUCCCCUGGGACAGCUCGGUGAACUCCUGGACUACCAGACACUGCCGGCUCCCCAUCUGAAUGCUGGACCCGAAGUCAAGCUGGUUUGUCUUUGACAGAGUGGCCUUUGAAUUCUUAAAAUAUGUUCUGACUGGUGUCCAGCCAGUGGGAGAUGUGAUUACAGUAAUUGAUGGGCCUAUGAUAGACACAGCUCUCUGAAAAUGCAGUGUUGAGUGUUUUGAAAGGGAUUCCAUGAACUCUUAUUUAUACAUGACUCCGGUUUUCUGUAUGUGAAAGGCUUGUGGCUAAUGUGUCAAACGAGGACAACCAAACCACCAAGGUCUUUUCCCUGGAAGAUCACAGUAGAAGAAUUGAGGGCUAAGAAAAUGCAGGCAUUUGAGACAAUAUGGUCAUUGUUGUAAGAUAAUCUCCUUUACAUUUUCUUUAAAAAAAAUUUUUGUUUAAUUGUUUGAUGGUUGGGGUAGAGAGAGAUAAAAGUAAGGCAAAAAUGUACACUACAUUCAAAAUCUGGGUCACAUCUACCCAUAUCCUACUUUCCUGGAACAUCUAAUUUUGUUAAAAGGUUAAAGCUGAGAAUUUCAGAGUUGAAUAUCUUCCUUAGCAUUCAGAAACAGAAACUUCAAAAAUUUAUGAAAGAACAGCAAAUACAGAAAGAACAGAAAGUAUGAGCUAUAUCUUUUACUUCAACUAUCUGAGGUCAAGGUUUUUUGGUGUAGUUGUUCUUUCCAUUUUAUUAGUGAGUGUUUUUGUAUUCUUGAUUUAAUGGGUUUAUUGUCGAAGUUUCUAUUAUUUUAAUUUCUCUCAUCUACUCAGGAGGAACAGUAAGCAAACCCAAGGCAAUAUAGAUGGUGUUCUCAACUGUUCAGUUUUAUCCAGAAUCUGCCUUCAGUGGUGACCAGGUAGCUUAUUCCAGCCACAUCACUACUAAUACUUAGAUGCUCCAUAUUAUUUGCUUGUGAUGUAACAAUGCAGUAGAAACCUAGGGAGAAAACUGACCCCUCGAAUGAAAGUUUCUUCGAAUCUGGCAUUUUGUUGUUUAUCUGUAAGGUUAAUUUUACCUCUGUGUUUCUACCACUUUUAGAAAAGCCACUGGGAAAUAUUUAACUAUUUCAGUGUACCUUAAUUAUCAAUCCCGGGAGUGUGUUUGUUAUGGCAAUGCUGAUGACAAAGUGCCAUAGCACUUCCAUAGUCUGGAGAGAAUUAGGAUAUCAUUAUAGUCCUCUCCAGUCAUUCCAGAAUGAGAUCAGAAGAGAUCGUCAUCCUCUUUGCAAAUGAGAAACAAGUAUAGGUGUGAAGAGACCUGGCCAUGACCAUUCAGCAAAUGAAAGGUCCACUGGAAGAUGGGGUUGACCUCUUAUGCAUCAGGGAGGACUUCUUAUCCUGGACAAGAGCAUGAGGGCCACCAAGACACUUGGAAGAAACACAUCAUCUUU